CAAUAGCGUAUAUUUAAGUUGUUGCAGUUAAAAAGCUCGUAGUUGGAUUUCGGUUAAGAGCGACCGGUCCGCCGUUUGGUGUGCACUGGUUGGUUUUAACUUCCUGUAGAGGACGUGCUCUGGGUUUAACGACCUGGACUCGGAGUCUACGUGGUUACUGUGAAAAAAUUAGAGUGUUCAAAGCGGGCUUACGCUUGAAUAUUUCAGCAUGGAAUAACACUAUAGGACUCCUGUCCUAUUUCGUUGGUCUCGGGACGGGAGUAAUGAUUAAGAGGAACAGUUGGGGGCAUUCGUAUUUCAUUGUCAGAGGUGAAAUUCUUGGAUUUAUGAAAGACGAACUUCUGCGAAAGCAUUUGCCAAGGAUGUUUUCAUUAA
rnacentral:rRNA from 1 species